CACGUAUACCAACGGAUAAAUAAUCCUGUUUCUCGUCUAUUCGCAUUUUUUAAAAGCUGUUGCUAUUCGCUGUAUAUCUCUUACUUCUUUUAUUAACGUUUAGUACGAGUGUGGAUUUUAUAUGUGCUUUCUUUCUACGCGUUACGUACCAUAGUAAUUACCAAACUAUUCACAAUGAGAUUUAUUUAACUUGGAAAACAUUAGAUCAGAUACUGCCUACAUUGUUUUAAGCUCAUAAACAAGUUGAACGCACAAUAAAUGAUUAAAUGUUAGAUCUAUUAGGACACAGGCCUGUGUUGGGACGUUGAAGGAAACUCUCAUGAAAGAGAGAGACCUCACCCACUUCCUGACCUCCUCUCUUUCUCUUUCCCAAUGUCAAAACCAAUACAGUGCAUACAAUAGAUAAAAAUCUAUCCUUUACACUUUAGAGGCUGUACUCUACUACAUUAACUACUUUAAACAAGUUUAAUUCUCUAGGAUCAUGCUUAAAGUAAUUCUUUAGUUCAAGAAAGAAAAUUCUAUAGCUCACUCCAGCCGAGCCUUUUCGUUUUUCGAAAAUACGACAAUUCUGUUAAUCCCAAUAUAACUUUCAUCUGCUGUGCAAUAAAUGAGCCCUUUUGGAGGUUCUCCUCUUUUUCUACCUGCCUUGGGUUAAGUCGAAUUUAAUCUGCCUCGGACUGCCUAAACACUAUUACAACACGGUUUACAAUACUUGGUGCCUAUCUGCAGUACCUUUCCGAGCUAUAAACUUGCACAGUAAAUGUAAUAGUUGAUAGUUCUUACAUUGAGUGAACAAAAAAUACCUUGACCAUCUCGAAAAUCUCACUUCUUUUUUAUAAUAUCAAAAAAAUGUUAAGCGGAAAUAUUGUUCGGUUUGACGGGGCGAAUAAACAUGAUAAACAGGUAAUUUUUCUCGAGGUAUUACUUUUCGAGAUUUUUAGGCGAAUUUCGUUUCUUUACAUGGAAUUAUAGUACACAUUUUAAUACAUCGUUCGAUGCUGCGCGUUAUGUUCUACACAAAUGUAUUAAAUCACUUAUGUCGAAAAAUCAUUAGUUUAAAACGUAUUAUCAUGUUGGAAAGAUAGUAUUAUUUUUAUUUGUAAGAAUGUCUAAGAAGAUCUUUAAUUUUUCUUACCAAAAAAUUUCAAUCAAAAUGUCGCGGAGAGUUGAAGAAUCAUUUAGAAAUCGAAUAAACAUUGGCAUUCAGACUGAAGGGCAUAGCCUCGAACACCGACAUCAGAAAAGUAAGUGUAUAUAAAAUACUUACGUGAUCAGCUACACAUACAACAGAAAUAAUAUCUUUUAAAAUUCUAAACUAAUAAUUUUUCGUCGUUAGCAACUUAAUAAUUUUGUACAAAGAAUAAUAACGAGCUGCAUCGAAUGGUCAUUAAAAAGUGUACGUAUAAAAAUGUAUAUCUGUAAGUAUAAUUUUUUUUUUUUUUUGUUAAUUGUCGACAUAAAUGUACGGAAGUCUUGUUUCAAAAUUGGUUGCUACUAAAAUGAAUUUAAUCAAUUUCGAGGAAAAUAUACGUUGUAACGUUUUAAAAAGUGAAGAGUUUCUUUGGACAAGUUAUCACAGCUCGUCGCACGAAGCUUGGUUAACUGUUUAAAAAUAAGCAGUAACCGAUUGUCGGAUCAAUUUAUUUUGUUAGAACGUUACAUAAAAUGGACACGCACGAUGACGUAAAUGGGAGAAGAAAAAAGAGUAGGGUUCAUAAUAGGUCAUGGGCUUACGUGGGACGUGGGGUGUGAAUAGACAGGGAAUUGCUAGUAAUAAAAAUUGGUUGCCACGGAAGAGGUGUUUAUAAUUCGUUCAGCGAGACGAGGCAUCAGAAAAACCAAAUAUCAGCAGGAAAAAAGGGACGAAGCAUGAAGAGUGAUGGUAAUUAUGGAUAAUCGUGAAAACAAACGAGCCACUUUCUAAGAGAGCACAUAAACAGCUUCGAGCAAUCUAUUCGACUUUAUUUCGAAACACGGACUACAGACCGAAGAGAAAGUCUCUAAAUAGAUGUAAUCUUUGCUUGUGUAUCACACAGAAGGAUGAAUUAAUUGAUUUAUCGUUUAUUCGUUAAUUGACUCGGCGUCUACAGGAAAGUGGCAACCUGAUAAAAAUGAGAAAAAUUCUUUCUGGUCAUCUUUUUCCAUCUCCCUUCACUGUACAUGGUUUCCUUAAAUUUACAUAUGUUUACUUAAUGGAAAUUAAUAUACAUAUAAUGUAAUGAGAAGUUUCUGAACAAAAAUGUGUAAAACUAUAAAACCAGUUGAGAAUUUGGAGACGUGGGAUAGUCGGCUUGCAAAGGCACUUGCGUGGGCAACAACGAGAAAGCUGGUACCCUAUCUAUACGUGAAUACAUAGUCGUUCGUGUCUGUGUGAAUCGUGUAGAAGGCGUCACGUUUUUCUUCUUUGUGUUCCCCUAAGAUGUGUAGCUUACGUGAUCGUUCACACGAACUCACAAGCGUAAGAAUAUCAGAUAAAAGAGUUGGACUGUUUGAAAUUCGUAUUACUUGCGUUGUUGUGAAAUACACGUUAUCAUCGAGAGUAUAAAAGUAUGUUAUCAUCAACCAAAAUUAAUAAUUAGAAACCAGCAAUAAAUAUGAACAUGAAACAACAACUAAAUAUUCUAUUCACGUAUCUAUAUUGUAUAUUUUUAGUUUGUAUCGAAACCUCGCAUAGACUUUGAGCAAAAACACUAGACUUUAAGGAAAAUUGAAAAAUUGAAUUCGUUCCAAAUUAGAUUCGAUGUCUGGAAAUCGAAUAUUUUUCAUACCAAAGCCUCAAACAUGUUAUAAUUAGAAAACAUGUGUUAAUUAUUAGAUUAGUGUUGUAAUCGUAAGAUUCUAAUACAUAUGAAAUAACAGCUAUUAUUAAAGGAUUGUAUAAUUAUCCAUUGUGCGCGUUAAUUUCACUGGACAAGCAUUAUAGUAUAGGAUUGCAUUAUCGUUUCUUAACAUUGUUUACGCAUUUUCUCUCUUAUCGUUGGAUUCCAAGUUGGAUCGUUAUCCGUUUAUCACAGUCAGUCAGUUUGUCACAGUUAUUAGUAUUAUCAAUAUCGACGCAAUAGGAACGUUGAGAAUUACGUGCGUUUUUAAGGAAUUCAAUAGUCUGUCCCUACACCAGGCCUCCAUGCCAUGGCAGAUGUUUUUUCGGAGGGCGACGGCAACCAUCGCGUCACAAUGAGUGUAUCCUUUCCAAAAGGUUUCCCCUGUUGCCAGAUUUUCACUACCGAAGCCCUUCCUUUGUUCAGACAAAAAUUCUUGAUACUAUACCCAUGCAACCAAGCCAACCGAAAUAAUUAUCAGUGUAGUAACAAUUCAUUAUUAUCAUCCUGUUUUCUAUUCUCAUAAGGUUUUGUAUUUUUUAUGUCUACGCUACUAUACAUACUAUUUAGUAAUGUACGAUGCUGAAAAUGCGUAGUAGAUCAUAAAAACAGUCAACUGAUUGUAGAUUAUUUUUAGUAAAAAUAGUAAAAAAUAGGUGCAUUCUAAUCUAAUCAGGUAGUUAAUAAAAACGAUUAAACAUCUUGAUAAGACUUGAAAAAGUCGACACUAACGAUCUUCGAACUUGUUUAGCUUCCAACUGUAGAAUGUUACAUCAGAAAGUGUUUCCAAUACCUGAACUCUCUUUUAUUUUUGCUGUUUACUUAGCAAGUAUCAUGCGAUGUUUUCACAUGCAGUGUUUCGCCAUAAAUAAACGAUUUCUACUUAUAGCCUUAAAUAAUAAUCCAAGAUAAAUACCUAUAUGAGACUGAUAACACGAAGUAACAGCAAUAACAGUCAUGUACUACUAUAAAUCAAUCUCUUUUAUAUACUUUUUAAUUCCUUCGACAUUAUUGUCGUUAUUAAAAUUGAAAUAAACGAAUUUAACGAAACUAACUAACUAAAAUAUGCUUUUUAAUCUGUUUUAAAAAAUUUUCAUAAAAUGUAUUAACAAUUCAUUUUAUACUGUGAACGCACAUAACUGAAUUUUUUUCAAAUAUUAGCCAACAGUGAACACAUUGUGAACUUGAUCCCAUCGCUACUUCCCUUCUGUCGUACUUUCCCCACCAGCUGCAAGCCCAGAGCUCCUUACACAAUUUUCCCAUGCCUUCCCACGCUCUGUUCUACUCUACACAGAGACAGACACGCGAGUCACGAACAUAUUUACUGGCAUGUAAUCAACAAAUGUAUAACGCCCACAAUAUGCUAGCCUUUUACGUUUUCCAGAUUUUUAUCAAAAAUUAAGAAACAGUAUUAUUUUUCACAUUAAACAGCUAUCAUAGAUGUUAUGCGAGUAUCGUUUUAUCAUCGUUACAAGAGUGAAACGACCGUUGUAACUAAUCUCUUAAACAUUGGAUAUCGGAAAAGACGUAAUUUAUACUGACAAUAAUGUUUGAAUAACUACUUAUCACGGAUUCAUAUCUCGAUCACGAACUGAAGCUGAUCACUAACAAAAGACUGAGCGGAAUAGAGCGUAAAGACUGCGGAUUGCGGAUGCAUUUCUAGCAAAAUUAGAAUUUUAUAAAAAGAAUCAUGAAACACUUGACCGAAUCAAAACUCGUUGCGAAUCGGUAACGAAAGUUGGUCAACAUCAGAAUUUCUCUGUUUUAUGGAGCGAACAGAAAUGGCAUUCAUCACUUCAUAAAAGCUGUUUCACUGCUAUCUCUGUGUAUUCGAAUGAAAGAUUCCAAGUAUCUUUUCCGAUUUGUUGACAAAAAGUAAAUGUGCAAAGCUAAUAAUGGACAGAGUGAAUCAAUAAGAUUAACCUUAUAAAAUGUAGUUGAUUAUGUUCACAAGGGAGAAGAAAGAAACGAAUAUAGAGUGGAUAGAGUGCGAAUUAAGAUUUACUGCGAAAGUUGAAAGGAAGGAAGGAAGGAAUUCAUCGAUCUAAUUAAUUAUUCUUCCAUUUCGUUAACUGAGUAUUUAAGUGUUGUUUAGUAUGUACUGGAUCGUAUUAAUUCUUGCAUAAAUCCAAAUUCGAUGAAGGAAAAUAUUUUGUAAGUACCUCGAAAAUUGAGGUCAACUAUAAAUUUUUUCAAACGGCAGGAUUAUUUAAAAUGUUAAUUUCUGUCAGCAGCGUCGAUGAAAAUUCAU